rnacentral:rRNA from 1 species
CGGGAGGCUUAACACAUGCAAGUCGAGGGGUGAGGUCUCUUCGGAGAAUACACGACCGGCGCACGGGUGAGUAACGCGUAUGCAACCUACCUAUAACACAAGGAUAGCUCCCGGAAACGGGAAUUAAUACUUGAUGACAUUCAAAGAUGGCAUCAUCAAUGAAUCAAAGUUCCGGCGGUUAUAGAUGGGCAUGCGUGACAUUAGCUAGUUGGUGAGGUAGAGGCUCACCAAGGCGACGAUGUCUAGGGGGUCUGAGAGGAUGAUCCCCCACACUGGUACUGAGACACGGACCAGACUCCUACGGGAGGCAGCAGUGAGGAAUAUUGCGCAAUGGAGGAAACUCUGACGCAGCCAUCCCGCGUGCAGGAUUGACGGCCCUAUGGGUUGUAAACUGCUUUUCUAUACCAAGAAACACCGAUACGUGUAUCGGUUUGCCGGUAGUAUAGGAAUAAGCAUCGGCUAACUCCGUGCCAGCAGCCGCGGUAAUACGGAGGAUGCAAGCGUUAUCCGGAAUCACUGGGUUUAAAGGGUGCGCAGGCGGAAUAGUAAGUCAGAGGUGAAAGCCCACAGCUCAACUGUGGAAUUGCCUUUGAUACUGUUAUUCUUGAGUGUAGUUGAAGUAGGCGGAAUAUAGCAUGUAGCGGUGAAAUGCAUAGAUAUGCUAUAGAACACCAAUUGCGAAGGCAGCUUGCUAAACUAUAACUGACGCUGAGGCACGAAAGCGUGGGGAGCGAACAGGAUUAGAUACCCUGGUAGUCCACGCCGUAAACUAUGAACACUCGCUGUUGGCAAUACACAGUCAGCGGCUGAGCGAAAGCGUUAAGUGUUCCACCUGGGAAGUACGAUCGCAAGGUUGAAACUCAAAGGAAUUGACGGGGGCCCGCACAAGCGGAGGAGCAUGUGGUUUAAUUCGAUGAUACGCGAGGAACCUUACCUGGGCUUAAAUGUAUAUUGACGUACUGAGAAAUCAGUAUUUCUUCGGACAAUUUACAAGGUGCUGCAUGGUUGUCGUCAGCUCGUGCCGUGAGGUGUCGGGUUAAGUCCCAUAACGAGCGCAACCCCUACUUCUAGUUACCAGCAUUUCGGAUGGGGACUCUAGAGGAACUGCUACGCAAGUAGAGAGGAAGGUGGGGAGACGUCAAUCAGCCGGCCCUUAUGUCCAGGGCUACACACG